UACGGAGGAUGCGAGCGUUAUCCGGAUUUAUUGGGUUUAAAGGGUGCGUAGGCGGAUCGUUAAGUCAGUGGUCAAAUUGAGGGGCUCAACCCCUUCCCGCCAUUGAAACUGGCGCUCUUGAGUGGAAGAGAAGUAUGCGGAAUGCGUGGUGUGGCGGUGAAAUGCAUAGAUAUCACGCAGAACCCCGAUUGCGAAGGCAGCAUGCCGGCUUCCGACUGACGCUGAAGCACGAAAGCGUGGGGAUCGAACAGG
rnacentral:rRNA from 1 species